rnacentral:rRNA from 1 species
GAUGAACGCUGGCGGCGUGCCUAAUACAUGCAAGUCGAGCGAACGGACGAGAAGCUUGCUUUUCUGAUGUUAGCGGCGGACGGGUGAGUAACACGUGGAUAACCUACCUAUAAGACUGGGAUAACUUCGGGAAACUGGAGCUAAUACCGGAUAAUAUUUUGAACCGCAUGGUUCAAAAGUGAAAGACGGUCUUGCUGUCACUUAUAGAUGGAUCCGCGCUGCAUUAGCUAGUUGGUAAGGUAACGGCUUACCAAGGCAACGAUGCAUAGCCGACCUGAGAGGGUGAUCCGCCCCACUGGAGCUGAGCCGCGGUCCAGACUCCUACGGGAGGCCGCGGUAGGGACUCUUCCGCAAUGGGCGAAAGCCUGACGGAGCAACGCCGCGUGAGUGAUGAAGGUCUUCGGAUCGUAAAACUCUGUUAUUGGGGAAGACCAUAUGUGUAAGUGACUGUGCACAUCUUGACGGUACCUAAUCAGAAAGCCCCGGCUAACUACGUG